rnacentral:lncRNA from 1 species
GAAAAUAAGAGCAAUACUGGCCGAAGUGACAAUUACUCAACAUAAUAUCAAAGGACUAGGUGGUACAAAGUCACAAGCUCUAACUGAAUACACGGGAUCAAUCUCAAAUACAAUACUAUCUGAAAUACAUAACAAUAGAAAUAAAAUAAGAGGGUGACUCCGAGGCAUGCGAACGCCAUGGCACGUAUACCUUGAAGUCUCUGCAACAAAUCCCAAGCGGCUAACUAACAUCCGGCACGCUCCGAAUUACCUGGAUCUGCACAAAAAUAUGUAGAAAUAUAACAUGAGUACACCAUAAUCGGUACCCGGUAAGUAUCAAGACUAACCUUGGUGGAGUAGUGACGAGGUACAAGUGAGGAUA